AUACUUACCUGACAGGGGAGAUACCAUGAUCAUGAAGGUGGUUUUCCCAGGGCGAGGCUUAUCCAUUUCACUCCAGAUAUGCUGACCCCUUUGAUUUCCCCAAAUGCGUGAAACUCGACUGCAUAAUUUGUGGCAGUGGGGGACUAUGUUCGCGCAGUCCCCUA